AAAGCACAAAUAUAGUAAUUUUUCUGAAAGUAAUAACGUGUUAAUAUUUUUUGUUUGUCAUGACUGUGGAUUCGCAUGCGUAGCGCCGUUAUGACUAAGUCAAUAAAUUUUGUCUAGAUUACACAUUCGUUUGCAUAGUGUGAUUAUGACAUUUUAUUUUUUUUGAAAGCGAACGGGUAAAAUAUGAAAAUUAUAUAAAUCACAAUUUUUUCAAAAUUAAUUCAAGUCAAGUUUAAGUCAAUAAAGAGAUCGUGCUAGAAUCAUAGGACUCGGGGAAUGCCUUAUACCUUCUCCCCGAUCAAUAGAAUUUCUUACCCCAACUAUAUUUUCACGGACCGACAAAAUAGAGCCAAACCUUUCUUCGACUCGGGAUUCAAAUAAAUGGUGACUUGGAACGCCGAAAAAAUCAAUUCCAAGUGGCGACUCUGAACAAUAAAAUAAUUCCUACUCAAAUUUGUCACUUUAAUUGGA
rnacentral:lncRNA from 1 species